UCUUAGAUAUUAACUAUAAUUGAAGUCAUUUCAUACAUAAUUCCCGCACUAGGGGGCUAACUUUAAUUCCACCGCUGUUUUGUUUAUUCAAAACAAAAAUUCUAACUGAUGAUAACUUUACACUAUCCAGUCUUUGGCGUCUUUAUAAUGCUUCAUAAUUUUGCUACGGUAAUAGGAUCAUUUCUUGUUUCGAAAAUUUGAGAGAACUCACCGACAUUACUUUCUUGAAAGUAACUUGCUGAAAUGACGACUGUCGAAGAGUUCAAAGUAGAGAAACGUUUAAUCGAGAAAGCUUUUGUUUUCAUAAUAAUGAAGUCUUUGAUACAAAAAAACGAGAGGGUGCUCAUGUUGACUUAAAGAAUAUUCUACAAGUGUGCAAAACCUUUGGCUUUACGAAACAUUUGGAAAUGAAUUUGAGAAGAGACGGAAUGGAGAAAAUCCUCAAGAAGAUAGAAAAGGAUGACUUUGAGGAAUACGAUGCGUUGAUUGUAUUCAUAUCCAGUUACGGAGAACAUAAUGACGUCAUUGGAGUAUGUGGUCAGAAGAUUUCUAUUGACGAUUUCGUUAAGUCGAUGGCCAGAAAUCCAACCUUAAAUAACUCAAGAGAAAAUAAGCCGAAACUUAUUUUUUCUGAAAAUAGUAACUACAGUGUGGUUAAAGCCGAUCACGGCAGUGCUGUAUCAUUGCCUAUGCAUGCUGACGUUCUCGUCGCCCAUUCCAAUUUGCUUAGAGGCGAAACAUAUCAUGAUUCUGUGUUUGGCUCGUGGUUUAUGCAUUGGUUAACAACUUUUUUGAAGGAUUUCGGUGACAAAAUGUCGUUGACAGAUAUUCUUACUAUGGUUAAAUGACUUUGUAGCUAAUUUUGAUGUGAGAGGCACUAAGGAUCAAGUGCCUUGUUUUUCGAGCAGUUUGAGAAUGGCUCUCCGUUUUCAAAGAGUUGUGUAAGCCACAUAGUUGCGCUUGCAAAAUUCUAAAUAUGGACAAGUUUCAUUUAUGCACUAUCAGUUCAGUGUUUAAAAUACUAAUAUUAAUAUUUCGACCAAUGUCGUCGAGAAAUUUUUAUUUUAUUAAUAUAUUAUGUAUAGAAUCAAGUACACUUAACAAAUGAGUAAAUAAAUGAAUAGAUAAAUAAAUACGUUGCACAAUACGUAGAGAGUUGAAACACUAAUACUUGAGAUUGCAAUAUAUAUUUUUAUAUCUUUA